GAACCUAGUCCCUUUGUCAAACAAAUACAUCAACCGACACUUUUGUUUAAUUCGGAAACUCCGUAACUUACCGAAACGCAUGUGUAUAUAAAUAGCCAUCAAGCCUUUGUCUCGACACCACAGCACCCCUCGAACAUAGUUUCACUUUCGCCGUGUCGGAAACUCACCGGAGUUACGUGAGGUGGGCACGACAGGAAAUCUUGCAUCAUCGAGCACCGGAGAAACCGGAAGUCACCGGAGUUCGAGGAACUCGCGGGUAUCCCGACUCGUUUCCUUCAUCAAAUCCAAGCAUUUCGCCAGAGAUCGGAGUUCACGUACAGUUCGCACCGGAGUAACAUACGUCGCCGGGACAACAAACUCGUUGCCGGAUGAUCGGAUCUUGCGGCCUCCUCCUCUCGUUCGGAUAAUCGCUUACGUUCGUUCUCUUGGAUUCUCAAUCCUAACUCGUACGUUCUUACAAGAAAUCGCAACACAACCAAUGUUGAUUAGUACAAGACUCAAGAAACAAGCUAGGAUAGCUUUAGAUAC
rnacentral:lncRNA from 1 species